UUUUGAUUAUAAGCACUUCAAGGGCAGGAUCUCCGCCAUAUUUCAUCAUUGUUUCUUUGAUUCCUAGCGCAGUGCCUUAGAUUUAAACCCUUAAGAAGGGCUUUUAGAGUUGAAUUGGAACACAUUCUCCCACUCACUUGGCUAGAAAAAUAAAAGCUAUUAAUGGUAUGUGGAAGCAGAAAAGAUUGUCGCAUUGAAGACAUUUUGGCACAAGAGAGAAGUUAGGACCUACAGCUUCUAAGCAUAAUGGAUUUUCUGGGUAAAGAUGAGUUGGAUUGUGCAUAGCUACCCCAGAGGGUAUUCCCAAAGGAAUUUCAGCAAGAAGAUAUUUAUGAGGAAAUAAGGUCUUUGCCACCACAAAAAGAGCUGUUAUAAAUAUUUUUAUUCAGUUCUUUUUCUGGAUAUGGAUAGCAUCCCUUCUCAUAAGUCUCUCAGAAUUGUACUGGAUCAUCGAUAUGGAAAUAUCCAUGGAAAAUAAUCAUUUUCUGACAUUUUGUGGACCAUGUUCUCUCCCUUCCUCCUAUUUCUCCAACCUCCUCAAUAUGGCAGGUCCUUUCUUAGGAUAUUCAGGAUUCUUUGGCAAUGAAACAGGAAAAGGGAUUCCUAAUGUAGCAAGAGAAGUUACAAAGUGCAAAGAAGCUACAAAGAAAAUUGAUUGAUAGCCCUCAAGCCUCAGAAUUCUCCAAGAGCUGACUGGGUGAGAGUUCCAAGCUGUUGAAGGGACAGGUUUCCAACGGGAUGUCUGUAGCAAGAAAGUCAAGCCUGAAGGGUAUGAAUCUGGACUCUCCCUGGACAACCUCAUCAUGUAAGAUGUCUGCUUUAAAUUGAGAUUAAAAGGAUUGAGAAGAAGAUCAACAUACAUUCUGGUGGACAAAGUGAUUUGGAGGAGCCUCUUUCACUCUUCCUGGAACAUCUGAGGACUGAGCAGCUGGAUUUCUAUUACCUGACCCACCAAGGACUCUGUAUGUGAUAUUCUGGGUUCACUGUUAGUCUUAUUCUUAGAAAUCCUUAGUUGAGUUAGUUAGACAGGGUAAUCUUAGGAAAUUAACUAU
rnacentral:lncRNA from 1 species